CUCUCAACUUUCUAACCAGCGAAAGCGAGACAGCAGCCCACCAGGAGCCUCCAGCCAAGUGGUCCUGCACCCCCUCUGGCUUUCAGCGUGGAGGCGAGGAACCAUCCCGGCCGGAGGAACACGCUGCCCAGCCAGAAAGGAGCACCAGCCCCCAGCCGUCCACCUCUGGCUCACAGCAUUACCCUCCAGAGCCUCACAUAAGUCUCAUCCCCCCACCGUACACCUCAGAAUCAGAUUCAGAUUCAGACUAUUAUUCCGAUUCUGGUGUAGAGGGAGAUGUGGAUACUGACUCAGACUCUGAUUUCCAGGACAAGAGGAGCUCCAGCCCCCCGAGGUCCAACUCUGCUCAGCAAGCGAGGACGUCCCGGCAAAUCUCCACCCCGGGGGAGAAAGAGCAGAGUCAGGGAGGAGAUGGAUCAGAGGCCAGCAGCAGGGACAAGGAUGUAGGGUCUUUACAGAUGUUCAGAGGGAGCUGAUGCCACAUCUGGUCCAGCUGAUGGAAGGUCUUGAAGUUCUCUGACUGAAGAUGGUCCUCUCACUGGAUUUAAGUUUCAGAUGCUCAGGAACAAACUCCACCAAUGAGCCAACAGGAAAGCUUUAGUUUUAUGAAAUGUUGCUAUGAAGCAUGAAGACUAAACUCUCCACAAGGACCCAAAAUAAGUUGGACUUCUACAUGAGAGCUUUAGUUAUUCUUCAUCUACUUCCUGAAAAGUUUGGUCAAUAAAAAAGACAAAAACUAAUAUUUUCAGCUGAGCUAAAGACAGACUUUGUGAUUUUUCUGCUCACAUGUCUAGGCUUGCGCUAGCCGAUCGCCACAGCGCCAUUGGCGCAUCGUUUUGCUGGAUGGCGCAGUCAUCCUGAACUGUGUGAGCCACAGUGGCGCUCUAUUUUUCUUGUA